AAUGUGUUUUAUUAAACCUGCUAAGUUUGCUCUACUGGCAUUAAUUCUCCCAGGCACAUUA
rnacentral:tRNA from 1 species